UACGUAGGGCGCAAGCGUUAUCCGGAAUUAUUGGGCGUAAAGAGCUCGUAGGCGGUUUGUCGCGUCUGCCGUGAAAGUCCGGGGCUCAACUCCGGAUCUGCGGUGGGUACGGGCAGACUAGAGUGAUGUAGGGGGAGACUGGAAUUCCUGGUGUAGCGGUGAAAUGCGCAGAUAUCAGGAGGAACACCGGUGGCGAAGGCGGGUCUCUGGGCCGUAACUGACGCUGAGGAGCGAAAGCAUGGGGAGCGAACAGG
rnacentral:rRNA from 1 species